UGUCAUCCUAUCAUUAAUAAGAAUGUCUCAGAUGACAACCGAACUGACAUCAUAUUCAUUAAGUACCAACGCAUAUUUUCAACUGGUUGGAUUACCGAAAUAUGGUUCCACCUUUUGAUGUUCCCAGACUCUAUAUGUUUAACAAAGGUUAUUCAAGAGUCCUUCUGUAGAGUCAAGAGAGAGAGGAAAGGGAGAAAGGUAUUUAUGGGGGGGUCAUAAACCUACCCCCAGGCCAACGUCAUGACAGGAUGAAUGCAGACGCUCUGUACAUUAUCUGGAAGUAAUGGACGACGUGGUAGGGACAACACACUGCCUAGUUUAAAGCCUAUGUGUGUGUUAUUAUUGUGUGACUCAUCCUCUAUCAAACAUCACCUCCACUGAUAUAACAGGAGUCAGCUCUUAUGACCAAAUUCUGUCUUGUCUUUCAGCUUCAAGUCUGCCCCUGAGUGUUCAUCUGAAAUCAACGGGGAAUUCAGUUCUUCCGUGUCAGUAUUGUCAAGAGGCUGCAGUGUAAUACAGUCGAUUAGAUCUCUAAGGAAGUUAACAGCCAUUUUACAGCUGUCUGUCUGGAUGGACUGUCCUUCCUUUGGGACCUGUUUGUCCUUGGACUCCCUCGCCUCGACGCGCUGCGGGAUGCUGUGGGCCCCGUAUGAUGAUGUCAUCACAGCUGGAGUUCAUUGAUUGACAGCUCGCCGUUCUCUCUCGUGACCUGCUAAGAGUUUGGGCUUAUGGAGUCUGAAUGUUAAGAAUCAGCAUUCACUUUGUGGGGGAAUGGAUGGGGAAUGGAUCAAUUUAAGGUGGUAUUUAAUAACAAAUGGGAAUGUGUCAUUUCAACAACACUUGAUUCUUUAUCCUGUGGCAGACGACUCAAUACUGCUUCUUUCCAUGAGCUCCUAUGAAAAAUAAAAACAAACAACCAAAACAUUUUUGGCAGUAAUAUUGGGUAGUAAUUCUUAUCCUGAAAUGUUUUUCUAACAAUUUCAGAAAAAUAGUUAACUGUUACCUGACAUUCUACCCUAAUACCAUAUCAUACCUAUGGUGCAAGACAAAUGCAGUUGUUUUCAGAACAGGAGGAUAGGCAUAACUACUUGACAGCGGUAUGACCUCUCGGUGUGGAAUGCCUUCAUCUGAGCAUACCAGACACGUCUAACUAAGACGGGAUGCAAAAUAACAGGAAUGGUGUGAAUGGGUAUUGUUCCUGUAUUCCCUAGUGACCCCAAUAUGAGCACAUUUUUCACAUGCCACUGCCUUGCCAAGUGUUUGUAACGUGAGCCCUGGAGAGACGGACAGAACACAGAGAAGAGAGAGGGGGGGCGGGGGGAGAGAGAGGGAGAGAGAGAGAGAGAGAGAGGUGGAGAGAGCAAGAGGGAGGGAGGUGUGAGGGAGGGGAAUAGGGAAUAUCUGUUACCCAGUCUGGGUAUCUAUUGCUGCUGUUAUAGAUCUGUUUCAACGGCAUAUACAGUGCCCUCCUGAAUUAUUUGCAACCUUUGAAAAGAUGUCGUUGUUAAUCAGCUUGAUUUUACACUCAACAUAUCAAAGGAUUCUAACCUUUAAUUGAGUUUAAAAAAAACAUUAUUUUAUGCCAAAACAUGCAUCAGAAUUAUAUCCAAUUAAAUCCAAGAUGGCGUAGCAGUAAGAUGUGUUUGUUUUUGUCCCAUGUAAAUAUUCUGUUUUUUUUUCUCGUUUUUUGAAUACAUUUCAAUAUAUUUCAAUCUCUUUUUUUCCAUUUUUUUAUAAAAUAUACAUUCCUGCAACCCGCUUCACCCAAUGUGGUAUGAUCUGCUAUUUUUUUACCUUAUAACUGGAACCUCCGUCAGAAGCUAGCCAUCAGAAGCUAGCCAGCUAAUUAGCUACUAGCUAUUUAGUCAUUGUUAGCCACUUCCCUCCCUUUAGUUUUGGGAUUUAGUUUUGGUUUUGGUUUUUUGUGUGAGGUGCAUCCGGGGUCUGCACCUUUUGGGGGGGUGGGAAUUGUCACGUCCUGACCAGUUUAGGGGUUAUUUGUUAUUGUAGGUUGGUCAGGACGUGGCAGGGGGUGUUUGAUUUAUGUGGUUCAGGGUGUGUUUUGUGUAUGUGUUUAGGUAGAAGGGUAUUUGAUUUAUUAGUCUGGGGUUUGUUAGAUUGUUCUAUGUUAGUAUAUUUUUUAUCUAGUCUUGGGUAUUUCUAUGUUUAGUUAAUUGGGGUUGGACCUUCAAUUGGAGGCAGCUGGUUAUUGUUGCCUCUGAUUGAGGGUCCU
rnacentral:lncRNA from 8 species